rnacentral:rRNA from 1 species
CAGUCGCCGCGGGAAUACGUAGGGUCCGAGCGUUGUCCGGAAUUAUUGGGCGUAAAGGGCUCGUAGGCGGUUUGUUGCGUCGGGAGUGAAAACCAGGUGCUUAACACCUGGCCUGCUUUCGAUACGGGCAGACUAGAGGCAUUCAGGGGAGAACGGAAUUCCUGGUGUAGCGGUGAAAUGCGCAGAUAUCAGGAGGAACACCGGUGGCGAAGGCGGUUCUCUGGGAAUGUUCUGACGCUGAGGAGCGAAAGUGUGGGGAGCGAACAGGAUUAGAUACCCCUGUAGUCCCUGUCUCUUAUAC